rnacentral:piRNA from 1 species
ACUUGGACUGGUGUAGGAAUUUCCUAG